UACGUAGGGGGCAAGCGUUGUCCGGAAUCAUUGGGCGUAAAGCGAGCGUAGGCGGCCCGAUAAGUCUGCUGUAAAAGUCAACGGCUCAACCGUUGAAAGCCGGUGGAUACUGUCGGGCUAGAGUUCGGAAGAGGCAAGUGGAAUUCCCGGUGUAGCGGUGAAAUGCGCAGAUAUCGGGGAGGAACACCUAUGGCGAAGGCACUUUACUGGGCUAUUACUAACACUCAGAGACGAAAGCUAGGGGUAGCAAAAUGGGG
rnacentral:rRNA from 1 species